GUGAAUUCCGUUGAUGUAGACGGUGUGAAAACGGAAACAAGAAGUAUGCCGUCUCACUGUGCUGCAUACAGUUACACACUGCGUCGUACGAUAGAGACAAGGAAACUAGGAAUGACUUUUCAUAGGUUUCCCAGAGACUAUGGGUUGAGGAGGAACUGGAAGUUUGUCGGCUUAGACCUGUGUCAUUCCAUCAGUGUUAAACUUCCCGGCUCAUCUUGGAAGAGUCUGUGCCAGAAAGACCACGACCAAGCAGCCUUGAGAUCUUAGGCAGCAUCUCCCUGAGGUCCCUCUCUAUCUCCCCACACAUCCACCAACCACUGGAACACAUCUCCAAAGUUCUGCCGGGCCAGCUCAGCUUCCCCUCAGAAGAAGUUCCGCCACCUGCCAGAUGAAGGAGCCUUUUGAGAGGCAGCUGGCAUCGUGAUUGGACUGUACUUUGGUCUGUUCCAAUCCAGCUUCAGCUCCAGAGACGGCAGGCGGGACGAGUCAACGGAGGCCGGGUGGACGAAGGCAUGCAGCUGAGUACAAUCCAGAAAACAACAGAGGAGGAGUGCAGCGACCCAGGGCCAGAACAAACAACCAAAGAACUACAGACUCUUCACAACCUGCUCAAACUCUUGGUACAGGACCUCACCACACAGGUCAAGAAGGUUUCCAUCUCAUUUCUACUCUGAAGAUCACCUUCUCAAACUGCUGACAAAUGUUUCUGCUGCUCUAAAGUCUGGUCUCCAGAACUUCCUAAAAACUCUCAAAGUCUCUUCUGCUGCAGGUUGCUUUGUAGAACUGUUCCAGAAAACCUCACUAAACCACAUGGAGGGGCCUCAAGAUAGUCAUCCAAAUGAAACCAUACAAAAACCAAACUAGUACAACCCAAACACUAAAGUCUCCUGCAGCCUACCAGAGAACCUCUGAGAACAGAGAAUCAGGACAGGAACUCUUACCUUCUGGACAACCAACGUUGGUUCUCAAACAAGAAUACAGAAUGUGUCUGACCAAAAACCUCUGAAGACUCACUACAGCCAAGAUAAAGACACAACUCAGCUGUACCAAAUCCACUAAUCACUGCACACAUUAGGACCAUGUGCUAACUGUGGCUAAAGAACCUCAUUUACCAAGACAACUAUCCAGUACAAAGCCCUAAAACACACCAAGAAACACAUUAAAGACGAUUUUACUGCUGGAAGCUGCAAGCCAACACCUAAAGAACAAACUGCAGGAACGGAGCCAGAG